UACGUAGGGUGCAAGCGUUGCCCGGAUUUAUUGGGCGUAAAGGGCGCGUAGGCGGCUCUGCACGUUCGUUGUGAAAUCGCCCGGCUCAACUGGGCGGGGUCAGCGGAUACGGCAGAGCUUGAGCAAGCUAGGGGGCAAUGGAAUUCCCGGUGUAGUGGUGGAAUGCGUAGAUAUCGGGAGGAACACCAGUGGCGAAGGCGGGUAGCUGGGCCGACACUGACGCUGAUGCGCGAAAGCCAGGGGAGCGAACGGG
rnacentral:rRNA from 1 species